UAGACAGGGAAAUGAAACUGCAACCAGACAUUUUGCACUGCUGUUGUGUUCUCUGCUCCACACACUGAAGUGUCAACAAACCUCACCUUCAAUCUGGUGAUGGAAGAGGGAACUAAAUUCAACAAACAAAAGCUGUAGUGAUUUGUUGGAGGGGGAAAUGAAGUGUUUGUCUUCCUCUGCUGACAAAGUGGUUCUGUGUUUCAGAACUCCUUGGUACUCAUAUAAAUACAUUAAUAGAGCAUGUACAUUGAGGUCUAUUUCACCAUUUAUUCAUAGUAUGAUAUUUGUGAAUAUGCCCUUCUGAUACUCAAGAAUCUCUGUUCUUCCUUCAAAUGAAAUCUGUAUCGUGGAAUCUGGGAAAAUACUUUGCCUUACAGCAGAUUAUAACCAUAAAUUCUGGUUUUUCUAUUUCUGCUGCAACUUUUCCUGUUGCAAAAUGUAACAAUGGUUACAAGUCCAUUAACUUAUCAUGAGAAGAAGUGGCAGCAGAACAGUUUUAUAGCUGUCUUAAUUGGACAUUACAGAUGUGCAGACUGCUUUCUACCAGCAGAGCAAUGUUGAGAAGGGCAGAUGUGGUUCAGACUUCACAACUGGCUAAGUUAAUAUGAAAGUAUCACUUGUCCUUUACUCCUGGAGGGUACUUAAAGCACAGAGAUCUUUUCUGUUCUUGAACUUCUUGGGUACAAAAUCAUACUUUCUCUGAUCUAGCAGGUGGCAAUUCACAGGGGGGCUGAAACUAGAUCAUCCAAGCCAAGCCAUUCUACGAUUCUAUGACUCCCUAUUGCAAGAUCAUUCUCAACAAGAGGCUUGAAUUGCUUUGUUUUCUUUACUGUUGUGUUGCCUCACCAACUAUGAAUACAUGCCUAUUGGCAUUCUGUUUAGUCAUACAGCAUAUAACAAGGCUGUCCUCUCAUGGUCUUUCUUCAUUCCAGAUGAUAAUUUUUAAUUAUUGAAUAAUUCACUAAAGGCCAUUUAGUCUUAGCUUUUCAACUCCAGAUCCUCCUUUUAUUUUUCUCUUCUUCUCUUUCCCCAUUACCAAGAGACAGGACUGAAGCAUGAAGGUGGUAAUUACCCACACAGCUGAUUUUGGACUGUUACUAUGCUACCAGAAAAACAUGCUGGGAGAAGCCAUCAUCCAUCAUGAAUGGAUUUUCCUGUAAAUGGAAUACACUUGUUUAAUAGUGAUCUUUUUGAGACUCAAUGGGACUCACUUUAAACAAUAACAAAAUCACAAAAUCACAGACUUCUAGGAGUUGGAAAGACCUCUGGAGAUCAUUGGUUCCAACCCCUUCUGCUAAAGCAGAUGCCUACAGCAGGUUGCACGGGAAAGUGUCCAGGUGGGUUUUGUAUAUCUCCAGAGAAAGAGACCAGACAACCUCUCUGGGCAGCCUGUGUCAGGGCUCCAACACCCUCACAGUAAAGAAGUUCUUCCUCAUGUACAUAUGGAACUUCCUGUGUUCCAUUUUUUGCCCAUUGCCCUAGUCCUGCCACUGGGCACUGCUGAAAGAGACUGGCCACAUCCAAUUGAAUCCUGCCCUUCAGAUACUUAUCAGCGGUGAUGAGAUCCUUUUCAGUCUUCUCCAGGCUGGAUAGUCUCUCAGCCUUUCUUCUUAAGGGAGAUGCUCCAAGCCCCUAAUACUCUUUAUGGCCUUUCACUGGACUCUCUCAAGAAGAUCCCUGUCUGUCUUAAAUGACGAGUCCAGAACUGGAUGCAGUAAUCCAGAUGUAGCCUCACCAUAGCAGAGCAGAUGGGGAGAACCAUCUCCCUCAAUCCGUUGUCCACAUUUUUUAAUGAACUCCAACUUUUAGAGUCCUACUGGUCUCACUAUCAUUCUGGUAAUGAGGAAGAUCUCUGGGGUGAAAAUAUUGGACUCAGAUAAUGCUUUGGUAUCAUUCAGCAGCACUCAUCCUUCCACCUCUGUCUUGAACAACUGUGUGACUGGCCUUUCCUCACAGUAACAUACUAGACAGUGCAUAACCAAGUAGUCACCAACACAAAUUUUGCUCUCAGAGUUUCCUUGAACUUUAGUUUCAGCUAGACUAUGACUGGCACCAAAUCCAAGAAGAGGAGAAAAACAUGAUUUUUUCUCAUGUUUUUCUUCUCUUCUUGGAUUUCGUGCCAGUGUGUGGGGAUUGAUUAUAUAUUCAUAAAGCCACUAAUCACAGUUUCUUUUCUCUCUGAUUUUUGCUAGGCUUUCUCUGUCUACUUUCAGGACUUAUCUCUAUAUGGACACUAACAGCAGAUAAAUCAAGACUGCAGCUUCCUUCAUUUUUAGGAGUUUUGUUAAAAUGGACUUUCUCCCUCUGAUACGAGUAUCAGUUAAUAUCUCAAUCAAAUCUGGAUUUGUAGUUUAGACAGAAAAUGCAUAAAAUUUGCAUAGAAUAUUUUCCUAUGUCAUCUUUGUCACAGACAUUUUCUGUUACUUUUAGAUUUAUUUCAGAUUAUUGUUUACUUCACAAUCAUUAAUAAUUCACGGAAGUAAAGACUUCUGUUUGGUAUUGAUUUGUCAUAACUGGAAUAAUGAAAAUAAUUAUGUAUAUCUUAUCUCUGUUUCUUCAGUUUUGUAAAGUUCUGCUAAACUCAGUGUUCAAGCUCCAAUAUAUCAAUUUUACUUUGGGUCUUAUCAUUGAUGUCCUGACAUCAAUAAAGAUUUUUGUUUCCUAUGGUGCUUGAUUUCUUUGGCUAAGUAAUAAAAAGCAUGUGACAUCAAGAGCUUCCUACGUCCCUACCCUGCCUUGUAGUACAGUGCUUAUGUAAUGAAGAGUGAUUGCUUGCAAGUACAGAGAAAGAAAUCCUAAGUAUGUCUUUAUCUUCCAGUUGAUGGGUAUAGAAAAAACAAAUAACCAAACUGUCUGUCAGUCUCGUGAAGAUAAAGAGAACGUAACAGUCUGGAUGAAUUCAUCAGCAACAAAUGACAGUAAACUUGUCUGAUUUCCCCCUGUGAUCAAGUAACAGACAUCAUGAAGAGUCAAGCAGCCCUAUCUCUAUCUCUCUCUCUCUCUCUCUCUCUCUCUCUCUCUCUGAUAUAUUUUGACUUCUGUGAUAUUUUUUGAGGCUGUCUUUGACAACUGUUGCCUAGAUAUGUUUUGAUAACAUGCUACAGUUGCACAUACAAUACUUGCAAAACUCUAAAUAAUUAGACCAGAACAAAGUAAAAAUGAAAGGAUAUUUGUAUCAGAGGUUAUUGAAUUGUUCUGAGUCCAGUUUUUGAUUUUAACCAAUGACUCAGUUGUAGAAAAAGAAGGUAUCUAUUAAAUUUACACAUAUUAGAAAGCUGGCAGAAAUUAUAUAAGCACUAAGGGACAGGUUUUGACUUAUGUAUGAUCUUGAUAAAUUAGUUGUUUUGUAGAAAGACAGAUGAUAGUUCAAGAAGACAAGUGCAAAAUACUAAACUUCUAUGGCAAAGUGAUAGGUAAUGCAAAGACUGAGUAACAACAGCCAUGUACUUAAUCCUGUCGACGUCAGAUGAAGAUUAGUGGUAUGGGAACUUGGAAGCAAAAAUGUCUUAUCAGUGUUACUUCUUGUUCUGAAAAAAUGAUUGUCUUGCACUGGUCAGCUUAACGUAGAGUAACAUUCAGCAGCAGACCCUCUCAGAGAGAACAGGUUUCUACUGUCUGUGCAGAAAGGCUGAAGUUACCUUCUGGCUUUAACUGGGGACUGGAAUCACUUAUGCAUUUUCUUGCAUUGAUAUCACAAGAAAUUUCCCUCCUUAUGAUCUCUUGCACUGCCACCAGUUAAGUUGUAAGGAGCAAAGUCCACUGCUGUCAAAGGAUUUCCUUCAUGACAAUGAGACUUUAAAAAAAUCUUCCACUGCAAUUGAACUUACUUCAUAUUACUUUUGCUGAUUUGGUACGUUUUCAAGAGUUUAAAUGACAUAUGCUAGUCAGUUUCUCAGCUGGGUUAGCUUGAUUAACAUUUCCUCUUUCUUUUUUUUUUCUUCCCCAAAAACCUAUGCCAACACGUGCCAAAGCUGUGUUCCUUCGUCAUCUGAUGGUGAGCAUUCUUCAUACUACUGUAAUUACAACAUAAUCAGAUUUGUUAAAAUCAUAUUUCCAGAGGAAUAUUUCCAGCCACUACUGGGUCUGAAUCCAAUUUUCUGUCUUUUUUCACAAACUGACCUGUGUAAAACAUUUUUUAGUCUUCAUUUCCAGCUGCUGCUGCUGCUGCUGCAGGUGAAAAUGUUCGGCAACCUGCUGCCAAUUAACCCUAGCAAAUAAAGCCUCAUCUCCCCUCCUCCUUAGAAGGACAAAACCUGAAGUAGAGAGAGGGAUGGAUGGAAAGAGAGUAGACUGAGAGCAUUGUAGUAGUAUUCUUAUGAGAAGAGGCUUAGCUUACUGUAAAUUGAUAUAGUUGUCAUAGUUAAUGUUUGUGAAUCCCUUAGAAGCAACCUGUGAAUAGUAGGUAAACACUAUUACUUCAUUGAGUAAAAUUUUUUUUUUUUCUGUUAGUCAAAGAGGAAUCUUUUGAACUUGUUAACCAAGCUACUGGUUACUUUUUAGUGCACAUAAGAGUUUGUAGGCUGCCCUAUAAAAGGGCUCCUCUUAGAAGUGUAAGAUGAUUGGGCUUUAGAUUGGUUUUUUUUUUUUUUUUUUUUUUUUUUUUUUUUUUUUUUUUUUUUUUUUUCCUUUCUUUCAGUUACAAAGCAAUGACUGGAGUAUAAAAAUAACUGCAAUUUUUUUUUUUUUGUACUUCUGUGACUUGUUAAUGACUGAUAGUUGAGCUAUUUGGUUUUGUUUAUAAACUUUUACUAGAAACAAAGCUAGUACUUUACAUAUAUUAUAAGCCAUAAAUUUGAGGACCUGCUAGAAAAGAAUCUUUAAAAAGAAAAGAGGACACUCAUUCAGCCUUUAGAAGACUCUUAGUUGGAAUUGUUCUGAAGCUCAAUAAAAAUUAGGAUAGCAAAAGAGUUUUUUUUAUAAUCCACCAUCAACAAUUAACUGUGGGAAUUCAUAAUGAAUGUGUCCUAAAAUCUCCUGUUAGCUUUUCCUCUCUCACGAGUCAUCCCAUUUGUAAUUAAAAACAAACAAACAAAAAAACCUUUAAGUAGAUAAAAAGCAGUGGGGAAAAAAUUGUCUGAAACCAAAAUUCUUGGGACUCUAUACAGAAUAAGAUAUUUAAUGCAGACUUUAAAAUAUCUUUCCUAGCUCUAAGGACCACUGAAAAUGAAUAGGUCUCAGAGAAGAUCUCGGAUUUAAAUAAUAAUAUAAAAACAUUUCUUAGACUGUAAGGGAUGUCUUUAACAGGCAGCAGGGGAGAAGGGAGAAUCAACAUUUAAUUAGUAGAUAACCUUUUGUUUUCUAUGUAUUGGUUGCUAUUAGAAAGAAACACUCAAUAAACCUCAGUAAAUGAGAGUAAAUGUGGCUCUGAAUACUCUUCCCCUGACAAUGUGAUUAUUUUUUUAUUUUUUUUUUUACCUUGCUAUGGGGUAUAAAAAGUCAAUCUCAGGGAGUUGUAAUCUUCCCAUUAAAGACUGCAUGUGAAUUCCAAAAGAAAUUGAAUUGUUCUUUCUGGAAUGCUGUUAUGAGCUGAAACCAAUUAGAAGGUUUGAUAUCAUGUCUGAAAUUCUCAGUGUUUUAUAUACGUGGGAGUUCAUGAUGAAUAUUUGAAUGGGCGGUUUUUAAGAGGGUAAAAGAAUCUGUAAUAUGAAAGUUCUAUAGAUCAUUUUCAAGCUUACAGAACUUAGAAAGGUUCAGAUUGAAUAACAGCAAAUUUUCUUUUGGAUCGCUUCACUGAGCUUCUGGAUAGACUGUGGCAAGCCAAGCUCAACUGUGCCUAGAACUAAUUUUACAGAUUGGAAGAAAAGGAUUCUUCCAGGUUACAGAAGCCCUUCCUGAAAAGAUCUGAAGGCAACUAUAUGACCCUACAUCUACAGAUUGCUUUCUGCAGCAUCAAAAUGCACAAGAAUUACUUCGGUCAGCAUUCACUUGCAACUGAAGGCACGAUCAAGGACUUUCUGACGCAAUGGGAAGUCACAAUACUUGACUGGCAACACAAAUUCAGUAUAGUCUUGAAACAUACUUCAUUGGGAUUGUAUAGUUCUUCCAACAGUCAAAUAACUUCAAGAUACGGUGAUAUUACUUGAAGGGUUGCCUAUGUCACUGCUCCACCUCACAUUUUUUUCUGUCACCAUCCAUUUUCAUUGCUUUGCGUUAAUGGUAUACUUCAACUGCCACUUCUUUAUUUUCUUGCUGAAAUAAGAGAUAAUGCAUAAAUUCUAUGAAAAAGGAGUUCCUUUAUUUUUUUAAAAAAGGAUCAUUUUUUUCCAUUACCAAGUGAAAACUUGACAAAGUAUUUCUCUUCUAACAGUAUUUUAAUAUAAAAACUUCCUGUGGUCUUACUGUUCUAGCAGGAAAUCCUGUGGCACUGCAGGAAACUGAAGCCAGGUAGAUUCAGCCUCACUCCAGCAUCUGAUCGUCAUUUUGUCGUCUCACUGAAAAUAGUUCUGUGACCAUUUACCAGAAGCAAAGAAUUCUUACUGAUAAAACAGCUGAAGACUAACAGCGUUAUUUACAGCGAGAAUCUUUGUUUUAAAAAAAUUUAUUUUGAAAGUUAGAUACAAUCUUAAAAUUGUACAAAGACAACAAGCACUCAAAUUACACAAGAAGUUCGCAGUGAGUACAGUGUGAACACAACAGUGGUGAGUCUUGCCUCUCUUCAUAUGUAAAUACCAAUGGAGAUAACCCUUACCAAACUUCCUGCUUUUUUUUUUUCUCCUCCCCAAAACCCUUACGGUGCUGCAAAACUCAGUGGGGAGCACAUCACCGUUCAGUUCAACAGAAUUGAUUAAAAAGGGCUCUAACUAAAAACAGUCCUUCUAUCAUGAGAAUAUCCCAUACUUUGCAGAACCAAGUUUCUCUCAGUUGAAAAACCACUUUCCUUUUCAUUAUAUCCUGUGUUUCAUUCCCUGUAAGGACCUGCCAAAUUAAAGGCUUGAAAAAGCUCAAAAAUAUUAGAACUCACGUUUUUCAAGAACAUGCAAGCUGAAACUAAUAUGGUUUAUACAUGUAAUUCACAGAACAGAGAAUAUUCCUUUUGUCCAGUAUUUUACUCUUUGAAAGUGUUCUAAAAAAUGCAUUUCAGAGUCAUUUUAGCUGUGAAUUGGCUAAGCUAAUGUACACACAUGUACAUUCUUUUUGAAAUUACAUGUAAUUUCAAAUAUAUUACUAAAAAAUGCAGUGUUCCUGCAGAAAAACAAACAAAAAACCCCAUGGAGACUGUUAAACAACACAAUCACAGCCCCUGUUCCAGGAAUUUGUUAUUACUUAGUUUUAGAAAUACCAGGAAAUCUCUGCUGUAAAUCUUCCUUAAAAUCAAUAGUAAUUAAAAACAAGGUUAUUUUUGUCCAGCUAUAGCCACAACAGCAAAAUUAUGGUACAAACUUGACUGCUUGCAGGCCUUGACUCCAAGACUUAGUGGAACCAAUUUCAUUUCAAAAGAAAACAAUUGUAAAUGUCUUGUUUGUGAUUUGGGCUAUGUCCAUGAAUACAAACUUAUUAUUCUUUCUAGGUACCUGGAAGUGCUUUAUUUUUCCAUUGUUUUAACUUGCUGUAAGUAUCUGUUGCAAUGUUGAUUUCAUAAAGUUUCAAAAAACUUUUUUUUUAAGUUAUAAGAAUCCUCUUACAGAUUGCUGUGCGUUGGAAUUCAGCCAGUUCCAUUCAAAAUCCUGAUGGUCAACUUUUUGUUAUAAGUCUGUUACAGUUUACACUGAAAGGGAUCCUCACUAGGCUCAAAACC